AAACACAAAGGUUUAGUCCGAGCCUUUCCAUUAGCUAUUAAUAGGAUUACACAUGCAAGCCUCUGCACCCCAGUGAAAAUGCCCUCUAAGUCAUUAAUGAUCUAAAGGAGCGGGUGUCAAGCACACAACUAUUGUAUCUCAUGAUGCCUUAGCCACACCCCCACGGGAUACAGCAGUGAUAAAAAUUAAGCUAUGACUGAAAGUUCGACUAAGCCAUAUUAAAUAAGGGUUGGCAAAUUUCUUGCCAGCCACCGCGGUCAUACAAUUAACACAAACUAAUAGACUCACAGUGUAAAACGUGUUGCCUAAAAACCCACACUAAAGUUAAACUUCAGGCUGUAAAAACCUACAGUUAAUGCAAAAAUACAACACGAAAGUAACUUUAAUAUCUCCGACCACACAAUAGCUAAGACCCAAACUGGGAUUAGAUACCCCAUUAUGUUUAGCCUUAAAUUUAGAUAAUUAACCAAAUUUAUCUGCCAGAGAACUACUAGCAACAGCUAAAAACUCACAGGACUUGGUGGUGUUUUAUAUCCCUCUAGUGGAGACUGUUGUAUAAUCUAUCAACCCUGAUACACCUCACCACCUCUUGCUAAUCCAGUCUAUAUACCGCCAUCUUCAGCAAACCCUAAAAAGGAAGAAAAGUAAGCACAAGUAUCUCAAUAACAACAACAAAAAAAAACUUAGGUCAAGGUAUAGCUCAUGUGGUGGGAAGUAAUGAGCUACAUUUUCUAUAUUAGAACAUUCCCCCACCAAAGUCCCUAUGAAACUAAGGACUAAAGUCCCUAUGAAACUACUAAGGAGGAUUUAGUAGUAAAUUGAGAACAGAGACUUCAAUUGAAUUGGGCCAUGAAGCACGCACACACCACCAGUCACCCUCCUCAAGUGACAAAACCCAAAGACAACCUAUUCAAACUACAAAAACCACGAGAGGAGACCAGUUGUAAUAAGGUAAGCAUGCUGGAAAGUGUGCUUGGAUAAACAAGAUG
rnacentral:ncRNA from 1 species